AUAAUAAUUAGGUUUUUAAUUGAAAUCUAGAAUGAAUGAUUGGACGAGAUACAGGCUGUUUUAUAAUAAUUAAUUAAAACUUAAUUUUUUAGUCAAAAAGCUAAAAUUUUAUUAAAAGACGAGAAGACCCUAUAAAUCUUUAUAAUAAAUUUAUUUUAAUAAAUUAUUUUAUUUAAAUUAAUAGUUUUAAUAAUAAAUUAUUUUAUUGGGGUGAUACAAAAAUUUGAUAAACUUUUUUAUUAAUAUUACUUAAAUUAAAGAUUUAUAAAAAUAUGAUCUACUAUUAGUAAUUCAAAGAAUAAGAUACUUUAGGGAUAACAGCGUAAUUUUAAUUUUAAGUUCUCAUUAAAAUUAAAGAUUGC
rnacentral:rRNA from 2 species